AGAGUUUGAUCCUGGCUCAGGACGAACGCUGGCGGCGUGCCUAACACAUGCAAGUCGAACGGAGCUAAGCCCUUCGGGACUUAACUUAGUGGCGAACGGGUGAGUAACGCGUGAGGAACCUGCCUUUCAGUGGGGGACAACAGUUGGAAACGACUGCUAAUACCGCAUAAAACUUCCGGAUGGCAUCAUCUGGAAGUCAAAGAUUUAUUGCUGAAAGAUGGCCUCGCGUCUGAUUAGCUUGUUGGCGGGGUAACGGCCCACCAAGGCGACGAUCAGUAGCCGGUCUGAGAGGAUGAACGGCCACAUUGGGACUGAGAUACGGCCCAGACUCCUACGGGAGGCAGCAGUGGGGAAUAUUGGGCAAUGGGGGAAACCCUGACCCAGCAACGCCGCGUGAAGGAAGAAGGCCUUCGGGUUGUAAACUUCUUUUACCAGGGACGAAGAAGAUGACGGUACCUGGAGAAAAAGCAACGGCUAACUACGUGCCAGCAGCCGCGGUAAUACGUAGGUUGCAAGCGUUGUCCGGAUUUACUGGGUGUAAAGGGCGUGUAGGCGGAGAUGCAAGUUAGGAGUGAAAUCUAUGGGCUCAACCCAUAAACUGCUUCUAAAACUGUAUCCCUUGAGUAUCGGAGAGGCAAGCGGAAUUCCUAGUGUAGCGGUGAAAUGCGUAGAUAUUAGGAGGAACACCAGUGGCGAAGGCGGCUUGCUGGACGACAACUGACGCUGAGGCGCGAAAGCGUGGGGAGCAAACAGGAUUAGAUACCCUGGUAGUCCACGCUGUAAACGAUGAAUACUAGGUGUGGGAGGACUGACCCCUUCCGUGCCGCAGUUAACACAAUAAGUAUUCCACCUGGGGAGUACGACCGCAAGGUUGAAACUCAAAGGAAUUGACGGGGGCCCGCACAAGCAGUGGAGUAUGUGGUUUAAUUCGAAGCAACGCGAAGAACCUUACCAGGGCUUGACAUAUACAGGAAUAUGUUAGAGAUAGCAUAGCUCUUCGGAGUCUGUAUACAGGUGGUGCAUGGUUGUCGUCAGCUCGUGUCGUGAGAUGUUGGGUUAAGUCCCGCAACGAGCGCAACCCCUGUGAUUAGUUGCCAACACGUAAAGGUGGGAACUCUAAUCAGACUGCCGGUGAUAAAUCGGAGGAAGGUGGGGACGACGUCAAAUCAUCAUGCCCUUUAUGUCCUGGGCUACACACGUACUACAAUGGCCGCUACAGAGGGAAGCUAAGUAGUGAUAUGGAGCAAAACCCUAAAAACGGUCUCAGUUCGGAUUGAAGGCUGAAAUUCGCCUUCAUGAAGCUGGAAUUGCUAGCAAUGGCAGGUCAGCAUACUGCCGUGAAUACGUUCCCGGGCCUUGCACACACCGCCCGUCA
rnacentral:rRNA from 1 species